rnacentral:rRNA from 1 species
GACGGGGGGGGCAAGUGUUCUUCGGAAUGACUGGGCGUAAAGGGCACGUAGGCGGUGAAUCGGGUUGAAAGUGAAAGUCGCCAAAAAGUGGCGGAAUGCUCUCGAAACCAAUUCACUUGAGUGAGACAGAGGAGAGUGGAAUUUCGUGUGUAGGGGUGAAAUCCGUAAAUAUCGAGAGGAACACCUGCGGCGAAGGCGGGUUGCUGGGCUGACACUGACGCUGAGGCGCGAAAGCUAGGGGAGCGAACGGG